rnacentral:rRNA from 1 species
AACGAACACUGGCGGCAGGCUUAACACAUGCAAGUCGAACGCAUCCUUCGGGGUGAGUGGCAGACGGGUGAGUAACGCGUGGGAACGUGCCCUUCAGUUCGGGAUAACCCAGGGAAACUUGGGCUAAUACCGGAUACGUGCGAGAGCAGAAAGAUUUAUCGCUGAAGGAUCGGCCCGCGUCUGAUUAGCUAGUUGGUGGGGUAAUGGCCCACCAAGGCGACGAUCAGUAGCUGGUCUGAGAGGAUGAUCAGCCACAUUGGGACUGAGACACGGCCCAAACUCCUGCGGGAGGCAGCAGUGGGGAAUAUUGGACAAUGGGCGCAAGCCUGAUCCAGCCAUGCCGCGUGAGUGAUGAAGGCCUUAGGGUUGUAAAGCUCUUUCGUCCGGGACGAUAAUGACGGUACCGGAAGAAGAAGCCCCGGCUAACUUCGUGCCAGCCGCCGCAGUAA